rnacentral:lncRNA from 1 species
GCUCCCAACUAGAAUAAUAAUAACUUAUGAUCUCUUAGUAUACCGAGAAUCUCUUGAUAUCCUAAAUAUAAAUGCCAGAGAUCUCUUGGUAUCCAUAGAAUCUCUUGGUAUCCUCAAUAUAAAUUCUAGGGAUCUCUUGGUAUCCCGAGGAUCCCUUAGUAUCCUCAAUAUACAUGUCAGGGAUCUCUUGGUAUCCUCAAUAUAAAUGCCAUGGAUCUCUUGGUAUCUCGAGGAUCUCUUUGUAUCCUCAAUAUAAAUGCUAGGGAUUUCUUGGUAUCCCGCACCUCAGUCCAAAGCAUAACUUCCAUAUAGGCGAUCUCCCGAAAUGCCAUUUCCUAGUCCCAAUUUAAAAU